rnacentral:rRNA from 1 species
UAGUGGCGGACGGGUGAGUAACGCGUGGGAAUCUGCCCUCAGGAGGGGGAUAACGGUUGGAAACGACCGCUAAUACCCCAUAUGCCGAGAGGUGAAACGAAAUUCGCCUGAGGAUGAGCCCGCGUCCGAUUAGCUAGUUGGUGGGGUAAGGGCCUACCAAGGCAUCGAUCAGUAGCUGGUCUGAGAGGAUGAUCAGCCACACUGGGACUGAGACACGGCCCAGACUCCUACGGGAGGCAGCAGUGGGGAAUUUUCCGCAAUGGGCGCAAGCCUGACGGAGCAACGCCGCGUGAGGGAUGAAGGCCUCUGGGCUGUAAACCUCUUUUCUCAAGGAAGAAGAACUGACGGUACUUGAGGAAUAAGCCACGGCUAA